CUUUAGGCAAUUCUGGCCAAUGAGAAGUGUGGGGAAGUCUGCUGGGAGCUGCUGGGAGGGUCGCCUCCCUCUUCGAAGGGGUGACAAGGGAGGAGAGAGUUCUCUGUUUGCCUCUGGGGCCUCUGUGGCUUGUGGCCUCGGAAACAUUGCAGCCAUUUUGGGGCCGUGAGGGAGGGAUGAGCAGGAGGAGAGGCUGGAGCCAGAGACUAGUGGAAGGGCCUGGGUCCGGAAGGCCUGGGAGGCCCUGGGUUACCCAGCUGGAGCUUGCCGAACCUAGAACUUUAAGUUUUUGAUCAGAUAGGCGUCUCAAUUGUUUAAGCCACUCUCAGCUGGCUUUUCUGUUGCUUGAAGCUGACAGAAUCCUAACUGAUGCAUUCUCCUGAGCCUCAGUUUUCUCAUCUGUGAAAUGGAGACGGUAGAUCCUACCUCACAGAGAGUCUGAACAUCAUAGGGGAGGACAGAGAUGGGAAGUCCAGUGGCCUCUGCACAACAAGGGCCAGGACCGGGGGCCCCUCGGUAACGUGGCCGACUCACUUCCUGCCUCCGCUCCUGCCCCAGCUCCCCACCGGGCCUCCCACCAUCCCAGGCUUGACCCGGUGUCUCCAGUGGGCCCCGCACGUGCAACUUCUUCCAUUCAAAUCUUGUGGAAGGAACCUUCAUGGCAGCCCGUUUGUAUGGCUAAGGACUGGAAAUGACCCCAAUGCCCACCAACAGGUCAAUGGACAAACAAACUGUGUUGUCUCCAUACAACAGAUUACCACUCACCAUUAAAAAGGAACAAACUAUUGGUACACGUGC
rnacentral:lncRNA from 1 species